rnacentral:rRNA from 1 species
AUGUCUGGAUUUUUCGCCACUGUUCUCACAGGAUUGCUUCUCAUCAUGUAUUCUCAGCAGGAAGCAGCCGGCGGCGGCGAGUGGCGAAGUGGGUGGAACAUGGAACUAUGGCUCAACCGUUUUGUCCGCAUUGUUGCUCUGCUGGAAAGGGCGGGCAACUUCUUUGGUGCGCUGGAUUUCAUCUUGGCAACCACGAUGGUAGUCGGAGGAUUUUCAGACUACCUGGACCGGGAUUUCUGGUACACCACAACCAUUGUCUUUUUCGAAGGAUGCAGGAUAUUCAGUCGACAAACAAGAACAGACGAUCACAUUAUGUUCAAGGCAAUAGGCAGUAUUCAGUUUAAACGUGUAAAUCUUGGGAAUAACAGUGGUUCCUUGUAUUUUGCAAAUGCCGUGAUGAUGCUAGUAUCUCUAUAUCUAUUGGCUUAUGCUCCCAUUGCUAUGAUGCUUUUCUCCUCUACUGCAUGGAGAAUGUCUUAUGCACUGACUGUGAUAUUGGUAUCUCUGCUGAUGGUUUAUAACGGCUGGUUUUAUAAGCUGGUUGGUCAUGCAAGCAAAAGAGAGAGUAUAUACUAUUUCAAUUCUCUGCCCCGGCCGCUCUUCUGUUGA